UACGUAGGGGGCAAGCGUUGUCCGGAAUUAUUGGGCGUAAAGCGCGCGCAGGCGGUCAUUUAAGUCUGGUGUUUAAGGCCAAGGCUCAACCUUGGUUCGCACUGGAAACUGGGUGACUUGAGUGCAGAAGAGGAGAGUGGAAUUCCACGUGUAGCGGUGAAAUGCGUAGAUAUGUGGAGGAACACCAGUGGCGAAGGCGACUCUCUGGGCUGUAACUGACGCUGAGACGCGAAAGCGUGGGGAGCAAACAGG
rnacentral:rRNA from 1 species